AAUGACCUGGGAUGUUCGAUUCCCUACUAUUUUGAACCUACAAACACAAUAAGGGAUUCCUAUAUUCCUGCUUGGAUGUCAGGCCGCCAUUAUGCAGCGGAAGACAGAAAAUCAGGUGCGGUUACCCACCUAGCUCAUGCUAGGAUUCAAAAUCGUAGGCCCGGCAUUUUGGGAAAUUU
rnacentral:other from 1 species